UUUUCCGGUUGAUCCUGCCAGACCCGACUGCUAUCAGAGUGGGACUAAGCCAUGCGAGUCAACAUAGCAAUAUGUGGCAUACGGCUCAGUAACACGUAGUCAACAUGCCCAGGGGACGUGGAUAACCUCGGGAAACUGAGGAUAAACCGCGAUAAGUCACUGCUUCUGGAAUGGGCAAUGACUUAAAUCUAUAUGGCCCCUGGAUUGGACUGCGGCCGAUCAGGCUGUUGGUGAGGUAAUGGCCCACCAAACCUGUAACCGGUACGGGCUCUGAGAGGAGGAGCCCGGAGAUGGGCACUGAGACAAGGGCCCAGGCCCUAUGGGGCGCAGCAGGCGCGAAACCUCUGCAAUAGGCGAAAGCCUGACAGGGUUACUCUGAGUGAUUUCCGUUAAGGAGAUCUUUUGGCACCUCUAAAAAUGGUGCAGAAUAAGGGGUGGGCAAGUCUGGUGUCAGCCGCCGCGGUAAUACCAGCACCCCGAGUGGUCGGGACGUUUAUUGGGCCUAAAGCAUCCGUAGCCGGUUCUGCAAGUCUUCCGUUAAAUCCACCUGCUUAACAGAUGGGCUGCGGAAGAUACUACAGAGCUAGGAGGCGGGAGAGGCAAGCGGUACUCGAUGGGUAGGGGUAAAAUCCGUUGAUCCAUUGAAGACCACCAGUGGCGAAGGCGGCUUGCCAGAACGCGCUCGACGGUGAGGGAUGAAAGCUGGGGGAGCAAACCGGAUUAGAUACCCGGGUAGUCCCAGCUGUAAACGAUGCAGACUCGGUAAUGAAUUGGCUUCAUGCCAAUUCAGUGCCGCAGGGAAGCCGUUAAGUUUGCCGCCUGGGGGAGUACGGUCGCAAGACUGAAACUUAAAGGAAUUGGCGGGGGAGCACCACAAGGGGUGAAGCCCUGCGGGUUCAAAUUGGAGUCAACGCCGGAAUCUUUACCCGGGGGGCGACAGCAGAAAUGAAGGUCAAAGCUGAAGACUUUACC
rnacentral:rRNA from 1 species